rnacentral:rRNA from 1 species
UCACGUAUAAGAGGUCUUGCCUGCCCAGUGACAAAGUUAAACGGCCGCGGUAUUUUGACCGUGCAAAGGUAGCGCAAUCACUUGUCUUUUAAAUGAAGACCUGUAUGAAUGGUAGAACGAGGGCUUAACUGUCUCCCCCCUCUAGUCAAUGAAAUUGAUCUACCCGUGCAGAAGCGGGUAUAAAUAUACAAGACGAGAAGACCCUUUGGAGCUUAAGAUAAAAGGCCAACUAUGUUAAAAGUCCCAAAAAAAGACUAAACCAAAUUAGUACUGGUCCCAAUCUUCGGUUGGGGUGACCACGGGAGAAAGUAAAGCUCCCAUGCAGACUGGGAUAAACCCCCUAAAACUAAGAGAGACAUCUCUAAGGCACAGAACAUCUGACUAAAAGAUCCGGCAACAUGCCGACCAACGAACCAAGUUACCCUAGGGAUAACAGCGCAAUCCCCUUCCAGAGUCCAUAUCGACAAGGGGGUUUACGACCUCGAUGUUGGAUCAGGAUAUCCUAAUGGUGCAGCCGCUAUUAAGGGUUC